AGCCUAUCAUACAGCCUAACAUGGAUAGAGCUGAUACAUUUUACCUCUAUGAGUAUUUCUCCUAUCCGGAUAAAAGAACAUGUCAAAUCAAUGUUUGAGAUGAACGUGAAGCUCCAAGCAGAGCAAUGAGGGAACUGACCAAUCGUAGCCUAGACUUUUGUUCAAAGAUAAAAACACUUCAGCAGGAAUCAUAUGAGCUUCAGGACCAAAUCACAGACCUACAAAAGCAUAGGCUAGAUUUAAAGCGUCUCACUCAUGAGAAGGUUGAAGAGGGAGCCUCUCCGAGGCGGAGAAGUGCAGAAAGGCCAGUCUCACCUAGAGAAAUACCAGAAGAUGGCCACCAUCACACAGAAUGUCCUGCGGGGGAUCAUCAUUGCCAGUAAAGUGAACUGGCGAGAUGAUGACCCCAAACUGAGAGACAUCGCCAUGACGUUGGAGGACAUUCCCAUCUCUGAAGAAUGAGCAGUCAGGAUGGAAGGGAAAAGUAACUAACAUUGUUUAAGCAUAAUGUACAGUUAUCAGAAGCUGUAGUGAGAGAGAAGGAACAAGGUGUUGAUAUCACAGUAAUGUAAAAUAUUAACUGAUGUUAAGAGCACUUAGUAAAAUACAUAACACUGCAUCAGAUGGACAUGUUUUUGUAAUAAGCGUUUGUACAAAAAACAUUUGUACUGCAUUUUGUAUUGACCUUAACUUUAGUUUUUAUGAAUAAAUCUGCUAAUCACCGGUU